UCGCGAAAACUUUGCAAUACACGAAAGUGUGACAGGGCUAUCCCGAGUGCCAUCCGCUGAGGAAGGCUUUUACCCAGUCUAGAACGCUGGGGGAAUAAGGAGAGGGCAAGUCUGGUGUCAGCCGCCGCGGUAAUACCAGCUCUCCGAGUGGUGUGGAUGUUUAUUGGGCCUAAAGCAUCCGUAGCUGGCUAAGUAAGUCCCUUGUUAAAUCCACCGAAUUAAUCGUUGGAUUGCGGGGGAUACUGCUUGGCUAGGGGACGAGAGAGGCAGACGGUAUUUCCGGGGUAGGGGUGAAAUCCUAUAAUCCCGGGAAGACCACCAGUGGCGAAGGCUGUCUGCUAGAACGCGCCCGACGGUGAGGGAUGAAAGCUGGGGGAGCGAACCGGAUUAGAUACCCGGGUAGUCCCAGCUGUAAACGAUGCAGGCUAGGUGUUUGGACGGCCACGUGCCGUUCUAGUGCCGCAGGGAAGCUGUUAAGCCUGCCGCCUGGGGAGUACGAUCGCAAGAUUGAAACUUAAAGGAAUUGGCGGGGGAGCACCACAAGGGGUGAAGCUUGCGGUUU
rnacentral:rRNA from 1 species